rnacentral:rRNA from 1 species
CUAGAGAAUACCGAGGGGCGCGAGGUAACUCUCUCUAAGGAACUCGGCAAAAUGGCCCUUAACUUCGGGAGAAGGGGUGCCACCGCAAGGUGGUCGCAGUGAAGAGGCCCAGGCGACUGUUUACCAAAAACACAGGUCUCCGCUAAGUCGCAAGACGAUGUAUGGGGGCUGACGCCUGCCCAGUGCCGGAAGGUUAAGGAAGCUGGUCAGCGCAAGCGAAGCUAGCGACUGAAGCCCCGGUGAACGGCGGCCGUAACGAUAACGGUCCUAAGGUAGCGAAAUUCCUUGUCGGGUAAGUUCCGACCCGCACGAAAGGCGUAACGAUCUGGGCGCUGUCUCGGAGAGAGGCUCGGCGAAAUAGAAUUGUCUGUGAAGAUGCGGACUACGUGCACCCGGACAGAAAGACCCUAUGAAGCUUUACUGUAGCUUGGUAUUGUGCCCGGGCUCGCAAUGCGCAGGAUAGGUGGGAGGCUUUGAUCAUCGGCUUGCGGGUCGAUGUGAGCCAACGGUGAGAUACCACUCUUUGCGAGCUAGGGUUCUAACGGCCACCCGUCAUCCGGGGGCCGGACAGUACCUGGUGGGCAGUUUGACUGGGGCGGUCGCCUCCUAGAAGGUAACGGAGGCGCGCAAAGGUUUGCUCAGGCUGGUUGGAAAUCAGCCGACGAGUGUAAAAGCAGAAGCAAGCUUGACUGUGAGACCAACAAGUCGAACAGGGAGGAAACUCGGCUUUAGUGAUCCGACGGUUCUGAGUGGAAGGGCCGUCGCUCAACGGAUAAAAGUCACUCUAGGGAUAACAGGCUGAUCUCCCCCAAGAGUUCACAUCGACGGGGAGGUUUGGCACCUCGAUGUCGGCUCAUCGCAACCUGGGGCUGAGGUCGGUCCCAAGGGUUGGGCUGUUCGCCCAUUAAAGCGGUACGCGAGCUGGGUUCAGAACGUCGUGAGACAGUUCGGUCCAUAUCCGGUGCACGCGCAGGAAUAUUGAGAGGAUUUCUCCCUAGUACGAGAGGACCGGGAGGAACGCACCUCUGGUGUACCAGUUAUCGUGCCAACGGUAAACGCUGGGUAGCCAUGUGCGGAGUGGAUAACCGCUGAAAGCAUCUAAGUGGGAAGCCCACCUCAAGAUGAGUAUUCCCAUGGCGUAAGCCAGUAAGGUCACGGGAAGAACACCCGUUGAUAGGCUCUAUGUGGAAGCGCAGUAAUGCGUGAAGCAGAGGAGUACUAAUAGACCGAGGGCUUGACC